GAUGAACGCUGGCGGCGUGCUUAACACAUGCAAGUCGAACGAUGAAGCUCAGCUUGCUGGGUGGAUUAGUGGCGAACGGGUGAGUAACACGUGAGUAACCUGCCCUUAACUCUGGGAUAAGCCUGGGAAACUAGGUCUAAUACCGGAUAGGAGCGCCUACCGCAUGGUGGGUGUUGGAGAAAUUUAUCGGUUUUGGAUGGACUCGCGGCCUAUCAGCUUGUUGGUGAGGUAAUGGCUCACCAAGGCGACGACGGGUAGCCGGCCUGAGAGGGUGACCGGCCACACUGGGACUGAGACACGGCCCAGACUCCUACGGGAGGCAGCAGUGGGGAAUAUUGCACAAUGGGCGAAAGCCUGAUGCAGCGACGCCGCGUGAGGGAUGACGGCCUUCGGGUUGUAAACCUCUUUCAGUAGGGAAGAAGCGAAAGUGACGGUACCUGCAGAAGAAGCACCGGCUAACUACGUG
rnacentral:rRNA from 1 species